AUUGAACGCUGGCGGCAUGCUUUACACAUGCAAGUCGAACGGUAACAGGCCGCAAGGUGCUGACGAGUGGCGAACGGGUGAGUAAUAUAUCGGAACGUGCCCAGUCGUGGGGGAUAACGCAGCGAAAGCUGUGCUAAUACCGCAUACGAUCUACGGAUGAAAGCGGGGGAUCGCAAGACCUCGCGCGAUUGGAGCGGCCGAUAUCAGAUUAGCUAGUUGGUGAGGUAAAGGCUCACCAAGGCGACGAUCUGUAGCUGGUCUGAGAGGACGACCAGCCACACUGGAACUGAGACACGGUCCAGACUCCUACGGGAGGCAGCAGUGGGGAAUUUUGGACAAUGGGCGAAAGCCUGAUCCAGCAAUGCCGCGUGCAGGAUGAAGGCCUUCGGGUUGUAAACUGCUUUUGUACGGAACGAAACGGUGAGCUCUAAUACAGUUUGCUAAUGACGGUACCGUAAGAAUAAGCACCGGCUAACUACGUGCCAGCCGCCGCAGUAA
rnacentral:rRNA from 1 species